UACGUAGGGCGCAAGCGUUGUCCGGAAUUAUUGGGCGUAAAGAGCUCGUAGGCGGUCUGUCGCGUCUGUUGUGAAAACUCGAGGCUCAACCUCGGGCUUGCAGUGGAUACGGGGCGGGCUGGGAGUUCGGUAGGGGAGACUGGAAUUCCUGGUGUAGCGGUGAAAUGCGCAGAUAUCAGGAGGAACACCGGUGGCGAAGGCGGGUCUCUGGGCCGAUACUGACGCUGAGGCGCGACAGCGUGGGGGAGCAAACAGG
rnacentral:rRNA from 1 species